GUCUGAUUAUUAAUCUUUCAAGAAAACAUAAAAAAAUUUCAUAGAAUGGCUACCAAUGCUUUUUUAAAAGCUCUCUUCUACAUCCUUUUCCUGACACUGCUCUUGCCUUCAGAAGGAACAAUGAACACAGUGGCAAUACAAAUACAUACAGUGUGCUUUGUUGAUGGAGUCAAGUAUUGUCCAAAUAAUAUAAUCCGUUGCCGAGUUUUCUGUCACACUAAGGGUUUUGAAUUGGGAGGCCAUUGUACAACAAAAGGUUGUUGCUGUGAUAUGAUCCCUCCUGCAUCCAAGCCUCCACUUACAUAGUUACAUACACUAUAUUUAUAUGUUUUUUUUUUUUAUUUUUUUUGAUACAUAAAUAUAAAUAAAGAGGAUGUACUCAAAGUC